GACGAACGCUGGCGGCGUGCUUAACACAUGCAAGUCGAACGAAGUGGCGAACGGGUGAGUAACGCGUAAUCAACCUGCUCUUCAGAGGGGGACAACAGUUGGAAACGACUGCUAAUACCGCAUACUGAGGGAGGGGAUUGCGUCUGAUUAGCUAGUUGGGGGGUGAACGGCCCACCAAGGCGAUGAGCAGUAGGCGGUCUGAGAGGAUGAACGGCCAAAUUGGGACUGAGGAACGGGCCAGGAUCCUACGGGAGGCAGCAGUGGGGAAUCUUGCGCAAUGGACGAAAGUCUGACGGGGCAACGCCGCGUGAGUGAUGAAGGGCUUCGGGUUGUAAAGCUCUGUUAAUCGGGACGCGGUACCGGAAUAGAAAGCCACGGCUAACUACGUGCCAGCAGCCGCGGUAAUAC
rnacentral:rRNA from 1 species